ACGUAAGUAACUUUAGUGAUCUUUGGUUCAUGAUUUGUUAAGGUUUUUGGCUGCAUUUAUUCUGCUUUAUUAUCUUGUUUUUGUCUUUAGCGGCACCUUCAAGCAGCUUAUUGGUAUUGGUAAUAGUUUUGCUGGAUAUACUUUUGUUUUUCUUUUUUUGUUGUUCCUUAUCUCUUUCUUUUUGUGUUUUCAAAGAGUACUUAUUAUUUCUGUGUUGGAAUUUUUUUGAGAAAUACUGGAACCAACAACUGUUUCCAUCUGCAUUACAUAGUGUCAACAUUUGUGAAAUGGAAAAAAAUUGUCUGGAAGCAGCUAUCUGUUGAUUUGAUAUUGUAAUGAUGUUUGAUAUAGAUGAACUGUCUGUUCCUGGGUAAGCUGGUCGCUGUCCUGCAUAAGUUUUAUUAAUUAACAUCUUGUUUGUGGCAAUAACAUUAUAAAGAGACUCAAGCAAAAAACUCAAUAAUUAGAGACUUCAUUUCGUAACUGUACACUGGAGUCAUAACCGGAACUGAAAAGCUUUUCCAUUAGGAUUGGUUUACUGUGUAGUUGUUAAGAAGCUUGACCAUUGGUUGUGACUGUCUUUCUAUCUCGAUUAAGUCAACCAUUUAUGGAUGCUUGAACAAAAUAUUAUUUUAGGAGAGAUUCUUCGUAGGACAAUUGACACAGAAUAUCCAUCUAAACAAAGAAAAGAUCACCAGGACUGAUGUAAACGCUAAAGAAACUCAUCACAUUACUGGAUCUGUCAAAAUAAUCAUGAAUCUUACAAUCAAAGGUUGAACUCUAGAAGUUUGCAUCUAAAAAUGGUUCUACUAGUAGUCCUUAUCUUAUUGAAAUGGAGUUUUUCAGUAAAAUGUAGACAGAGGAGGCUUAGCUGGACUUUUGGAGUUCUCUUUGGCUAAGUUUCAUGAAUUAGAUGCCUGUUUUUCGUUAACAUAAAACUUAAAGCAAAUGAACUUGUUACACACGUAAUCAUAAGCCAUCUUGAUUGAGAGUAAUUUUAACGCAUAGUCAUCAUCCAUUCUCUAAACAGCUUAGUGAACAAGCAUGGAGCUCUUCGGAACACUGACUUUAUAUUGUACUUUUCUUCCGAAUGUUAUUUAUGCUGUCUCGAGUGCAAUGGACAUAUCGUUUAGCAAUCUUCACUUUUUUGUGUGACCAAGUUGUGUGAGGAUUCUAUUUUAUGUUCCGUUAUUCUUGUCUUUUAUAUGCUUUCUUCUGACUGAAUUAUCUUGAUCUACGAUAGACACUAAAUAGUUUUUGAUUCACUACAAGCUAUUUAUGCAAAUUGCAGGUUGCCGGUAUAUUUGUUCCCAUUGUUAUCACAUUGUCCUUGUUGACAUUCCUUGGAUGGUAAGGUCACAAUCAUGCUCAAAGUAUGCUUUAUAAACAGCUAAAUUUGGUGGUCAAUCUUCUAUAUGUCCUAUAUAGGUUUUUCUGUGGUAUGCUGGGAGCAUAUCCUGAUUCAUGGGUCAAGGAAAGUAGCAAUUGUUUUGUCUUCGCGCUCAUGUUCUCAAUAUCAGUUGUGGUGAUUGCCUGCCCCUGCGCUCUUGGUCUGGCAACUCCAACAGCUGUCAUGGUAGCUACUGGAAUGGGUGCUUCUCAUGGAGUCCUAAUUAAAGGAGGAGAUGCAUUGGAGAAAGCACAGACUGUUCAAUAUGUGGUCUUCGACAAAACAGGCACCCUUACUCAAGGCAAAGCUGCUGUUUCAACAGCAAAAGUUUUUGCAGAAAUGGGUCUUGGGGAUUUUCUGACUUUAGUUGCAUCUGCCGAGGUGAAAUGAAGAAUCUGCUUACAUAUGAGAUUAGCAUGUUUCAUUGUGUCACCUAAUAGUCAUAACAACAAUAACUUUUCCUCCUUUUGAUGUGGUUCAGGCUAGCAGUGAGCACCCUCUUGCUAGGGCAGUUGUAGAUUAUGCACACCAUUAUCAUUUCUUUGAUGAGCUUCCUACAGUCAAAGGUGCUACAAAACAAAUCAGAGAGGACAUCUUAUCAGAAUGGCUUCUAGAAGCCAUCAACUUUUCCGCUUUGCCUGGGAGAGGUGUGCAGUGCCUGAUCAAUGGGAAAAGGGUUCUGGUGAGUUAGUCAAUAGGUUGUUGCUCUCUCCCCCAGUCCCUCUGUAUGAAAAUUGAUGGCUUACACAUUAUUAACAGGUUGGCAACCGGGCUCUGUUGGCUGAAAAUGGGGUUAUUGUCACCAAGGAAGCUGAAGAUUUCUUGAUAGACUUGGAAGUAAAUGCUAAAACAGGUGUACUUGUGGCUUAUGAUGGUACCUUCAUUGGACUUCUGGGGAUCGCUGAUCCCAUGAAAAGAGAAGCAGCAGUCGUUAUAGAAGGCCUAAAAAAGAUGGGUAUUCAACCAGUUAUGGUAACCGGGGAUAAUUGGAGGACUGCCCAAGCUGUUGCAAAGGAGGUUGGUUUUUGUAGUGUCUCGCACUUGAUUGACUACAAAAAUAGAAGGUUUUCAUGCAUAUGAUAGUGCAUUAUGACUACUUUGAGAAAUUCCAUUCUAUCUCAAUAUUUGUUUACAAACCCGGAGAACAUCCUAAAUAGAUUAGGUUAUUCUUCAAAAUAAACUAAAAAGGAGAAUUUUUUUUUUCCCCUAUUGAUUUUGUCUGCAAUAUGUAUUUUGUCUCCGGUUUUUGUCAUUGGCAUCACCGUGUCAUGACCAAUUCAGUGAAAUUGGUCAAUCCCACAUAAACUUCCAAUUAGUGGAAUUUAUCAGUGGUCCUGUCUCCAUCCUUUAGUGAUAAAAUUUUCAUAUUGAAACUUUAUUUAUCUUUGAAGAGUAUAAAAUAGUUUUUUUUUCAAAAAUUUACAUCAUGUCAAGGAUAAACCAUACUUUUGUGAGCCUUUGGUUCUAUUUCACGUUCAAGUGUUCAAUCUCAUUGACAUCGCAUGAGUUAUUCCAUUUCCGUAUGAGCUUAACUUGGGUAUUUCCUUCCUCCUUUUGGAUAGUGUUUGUUUGCAUACAUUUACAUUUGUUAUCGAAGUGUACCAGGUUAGGAUUUACCAACUUUUGUAAAGUUAAACAACUUACACUAGGCAAAACUAAUCGAACAGAAAUGAUUUACGUUUCUCACAGAUUGGAAUUGAGGAUGUGAGAGCUGAGGUGAUGCCAGCAGGAAAAGCUGAGGUCAUUCGCUCACUCCAAAAGGAUGGAAGCAUGGUUGCCAUGGUUGGUGAUGGCAUAAACGACUCCCCUGCUCUGGCGGCUGCUGAUGUCGGGAUGGCAAUCGGUGCCGGAACAGAUAUCGCCAUUGAAGCUGCAGACUAUGUCCUAGUGAGAAACAGCCUUGAGGAUGUGAUCACAGCUAUUGACCUCUCAAGGAAGACCUUCGCACGAAUCCGCUGGAACUACUUCUUUGCAAUGGCUUACAAUGUCGUAGCAAUACCUAUUGCAGCUGGUGUCCUUUUCCCCGUCACGGGGCUUAGGAUGCCUCCAUGGCUGGCUGGCGCUUGCAUGGCUUUGUCAUCGGUGAGUGUAGUCUGCUCCUCUUUGCUUCUGAGAAGGUACAGAAAACCUAGGCUUACCACAAUAUUGCAACUAACUGUUGAAUGAUUCCAUAAAUGCCCAUUACAAUUUAUCACAAAAGAAAACAUAGCUCAAAGUUUUUCCAAUGUAUACUCUAACUUCAAUCUGAGGUUGUGCAAUCUUGCAACCAUUUACUGUUCUUUUGUUUAUGGGGGGUCAAAAUGGUUAGAGAAAGUGAAAAAAAAAAAAGACUCUCUUAUACAUCAUACAAAUUUGUAAACCAAGAUGUAUUUGACUCUUCCUACUCUGGAUAUUCAAGUUAGAUUCCUCGAGUAGAGGUGAUUUGACCUCAUAUAGUUCUCAAUAUUUAGCUGUGUUCUUCUUUCACAAUGUAUCAAACUCACAGGACUUGGAUCAUGUUUAAACAGAUUUACCCUGCAAGAAGCAGUAUAUGAUGAGAUGAUGCUUUCCCCAAUCAUAAACAACAUUAAUCUUGUGGAGAUUUGACUGGUAAAUUUUCUUUCUUUAUUUUUACAAAGAAUAAAUAUUGCAGAUGGAAUCAGAUCUUCUUCUUUGCAAAGGAUAUGCAGUGUUUAAUCAAUGCUGCCUCUCAUCCUUACAAGUCACAUAAUUUUUUUUUAAUCAGAAUUUUUAAAUAAUUUAUUUUUAUUAUAUUAAAUGAUACAUAAGAUAUUUUCGUUUUGAUUCGAACAUAAACCUAUCAAUUAUAAGUAUUGUGUCAAAAAAGAUAUAUAUUGGAGUUAAGUCCAUUAACUCUUCUCGUUUCCUUGAUAUUUAUAAGAUUCCAAAGAACUCCAUUGACAUUAUGGAAGAACUGAUGUUAUCGGGUUAAUGGAUCCGAAACGGCUCCAGUGGAUCCGAACGAGAGUAAAACCGGCCCAACAUGGCGAUGCAAAGCAUUUGAAUCCGGAGACGACGACCAAGAUUCAUAACAAACCACCCCUCAAUGCGCCUAUAAUUUACCCGCACUGCCAUCCAAACUCCAAACCGUGGUACCGACCCCCACUGCUUUUUUGGACCACCGGACCGAUGAGAUCUGUCCACGUGUAUACAUGGGGUCCACGUAGACACGCCGCCCCUGGUAUUCGACUCCCCCCUAAUUCCUUUCACCGGUCGCUCUCUUUAGGGUUUCCAGGUAGAUCAGCUCUUCUUCUUCGUCUUCUUCAAGGUAAAAGAAGAAAUGAGGGACCGGACGAGUUUUGUUCGAUUUAGUGUUCCGUAUCUUUGUAUUCUCGAUCUCCGUGCCUUAGCUUUUGUUGGCGUUGAAUGGUGCUUCGCGAAUUCGUAGGGUUUGAGUUGAACGUAGGGUUUACGGUUUUCGAUUUCAGUUGAUUCCUUGCUUGAACAAGGUCAAAGUAUUUUUUAUGCAAGGAGUCAUUGAUUUCGGUUCACAGGGGACGGUUGAGCCUUCGGGGGUAACCUGCUGAUUACGUCAACGACAUCGGCGGGUGAGGAGCGAUUCUCAUUCUUGAUUUCUUGAUCUUCGAGGUGAUUUCAUCUUUGGAUUGUUUAAAUACCUUUCUCUUUAUUUCCUAAUGGUUGCUAUUUUGUAAUGUUUUUCCUUUUCCUGUUUCGUGUCCUGCUUUGGUAUGAAGAACUUGUGUUGCCUGAGAUUUUGACGGGUUGGUGAUCGACGUUUCAUGAGCCUGAAAUUUGAGUUUCUUGCUUUUCGUAGUUAGCAGAAUCCCUGCUAAAACUCUCUGUUGGUGCAGUUGAGAGCAGGCAAUUUAUGCUAAAGAAAAUUGUCUGCGAAGCAUUUGUCCUGCUUAAGUAAAAAGAGGGUUGAACUUGGCUUAGAAGCAUGUUCUUCACAGUUUAAAGGUGGAGAUAGCUUGAAGUUUCCUAUGCCAAACCUUUUAGCUUGUGAAAGAGUGUUGGAUGUAACUAUGUCACCACUGAGAAUCUUUAGUCAGUUUGAUGCUUUGAUAUUCGGAACAAAAAUUAAACUUAAAGAGCACUUCUUUUCCCUAAAUCUUUGGUAAUAUUUUUACUGUUACAUAUUGCGUAGUCCUCAGUCUUUAGAGGGAUUGGGGAGGAAUUCACUACGUUAUGGAUGGUGAAUAAAAUUGCUUUCAAUUAUGUGAUUCGCAAUAAUUACAAUGUGCUAUGGACGGUGAUGUAACCAAGAUUUUCUUUGACACACACUAGUCACCAUCUAUGAAUAGCAUUUGAACUCUUCUCUUGCGCUUUCUGUUCUCAUGCUUCUUUAUGUUGGAUGGUCUGUUUACCUCUGUUUCUCUUGGUAUCGGAAAGCCCAUUUACUACCCAGAUUAAUUAAACGAAAUAUAACUUUUGAUUUCCAUGUCAGGAGCUUUUGGUGAAUUGAACUUGUUAGCAGAAACCCUGGAAGUUCACCUUGAUUUGACCUUUGAAGGUAAGAUUACAGUAUUGCUGGUGCAAUUGGCAGUUAAGAUGUUAGUACUUCAAAGUUUUCAAAUUUCUGUAGGAUGAAGUGCCUUUUGCUUGUAACCCUGUUGCUUCUUCACAUGUUCCUUGUUUCUAUCUCAGUCUAGCAACAGGAUUCAAAAGCCGUUAUGUCCAUGAAUAGUACUGAAGCUUCAUUUUUUUAUGUAUAAAUAUAUAUUAUUAAAAAGAAGUUUACUGUCUAAUAUGUCCUGACAUGCACACCAUGUAUAAGUUAUCUAUAGCACUUCUACUGUCUCUAAGUAACUCAGUGGCAACUCGAUUGCUGGUUUCUUUACCUUUUCUAUGUCUGUGUCCAUGCUUUUUUUAUUUUUCCGAGUGGGUGGGUUGUAGAGAGUAUCGUGGUUUUUGAUGAAACCAAGUGAAGGAACGUUGAGGCGGAGAUCCUGUCUAACUACCAAGAGAGAGGUGGAAGUCCCUACAUUGUGACAUAUAAAGUACAAUCUAAAGAUUACAACGUUAGGCCUAUGAUGCCUGGAAACCAAGUGAUGUUGUUUAAAAGAAACCUGCCCUAAGAUCAUGAAGGUGCAUCAAGGCCACUGUUCUGUCUAUAGUACUGUAGCUCUUCAAGUGCUUUCAGUAUUUGUUUUUGUUAAUGGAGGUUUUGCCAUUUUGGAAUGCUA
rnacentral:lncRNA from 1 species